rnacentral:rRNA from 1 species
UACGUAGGGUGCAAGCGUUGUCCGGAAUUAUUGGGCGUAAAGAGCUCGUAGGCGGUUCGUCGCGUCGGCUGUGAAAACCCGGAGCUCAACUCCGGGCCUGCAGUCGAUACGGGCGGACUGGAGUUCGGCAGGGGAGACUGGAAUUCCUGGUGUAGCGGUGAAAUGCGUAGAUAUCUGGAAGAAUACCGGUGGCGAAGGCGUUCCGCUGGGCCGUUGCUGACGCUGAGGCGCGACAGCGUGGGGAGCAAACAGG